rnacentral:rRNA from 1 species
UGGGGAAUUUUGGACAAUGGGCGAAAGCCUGAUCCAGCAAUGCCGCGUGUGUGAAGAAGGCCUUCGGGUUGUAAAGCACUUUUGUCCGGAAAGAAAUCCUUGGCUCUAAUACAGUCGGGGGAUGACGGUACCGGAAGAAUAAGCACCGGCUAACUACGUGCCAGCAGCCGCGGUAAUACGUAGGGUGCAAGCGUUAAUCGGAAUUACUGGGCGUAAAGCGUGCGCAGGCGGUUUGCUAAGACCGAUGUGAAAUCCCCGGGCUCAACCUGGGAACUGCAUUGGUGACUGGCAGGCUAGAGUAUGGCAGAGGGGGGUAGAAUUCCACGUGUAGCAGUGAAAUGCGUAGAGAUGUGGNGGAAUACCGAUGGCGAAGGCAGCCCCCUGGGCCAAUACUGACGCUCAUGCACGAAAAGCGUGGGGAGCAAACAGGAUUAGAUACCCUGGUAGUCCACGCCCUAAACGAUGUCGAACUAGUUGUUGGGGGACUUAAUUUCCUUGUAACGUAGCUAACGCGUGAAG